CAGUCGCCACGGUAAUACGUAGGUGGCAAGCGUUGUCCGGAAUUAUUGGGCGUAAAGGGCUCGCAGGCGGUUUCUUAAGUCUGAUGUGAAAGCCCCCGGCUCAACCGGGGAAGGUCAUUGGAAACUGGGAAACUUGAGUGCAGAAGAGGAGAGUGGAAUUCCACGUGUAGCGGUGAAAUGCGUAGAGAUGUGGAGGAACACCAGUGGCGAAGGCGACUCUCUGGUCUGUAACUGACGCUGAGGAGCGAAAGCGUGGGGAGCGAACAGGAUUAGAUACCCCGGUAGUCCCUGUCUCUUAUAC
rnacentral:rRNA from 1 species